ensembl:lncRNA
AUGUCAGCAGUCCUCCCUGUUGUGAUAGAUUGCAUAGGAUGCUGCUUCCGGAUCCAAAGGAACAAUCGACAGACGUCACAAAGAUCCACCUCUGGCUGCAUCAGAAAAUUAUGCUCCUGGCGCCACCAGCGAGUGCACCCCGCUAAUGGGUCGGGGACAGAAGAAACCCCGGGCUCCCAUGAAAGGCUGCCCAGCACCGCAGGAGGAAUAGAGGCUCCAAGUGGCUGCACAAUGCCGGCCGAUGACGCAACUAAUAAUAAUGGCAUGGCUUUGGAGCGCCCCACUCCAGUGACAAACAAUCGGGGUGAAGAAGAAGAAGGUGGGUCUUCCUUGCGGGCAUUGGUUGGAGAGCAGCCAGAUCCUGGGUUCCUUUUGGAAAGGGGGUAGUCUGGGAUGUGGAGCAGGCAGCUCUUUCCCAGUCAUAGUGAUGCCCUGGUGGCACCUGCCCUGGACACAAGUCUCUUGUGUUGAUUCCUUGGGUUGUGACACAUUCCGAGGGACAGGGAGUGAGGUCCAUGUGUGAGCACAUGUGGUGUAAGUAUCUGUUUCCUCAUGAGCUCUCUCCUAUUUAUACAGAAAAUACACCGCUCAACGUUCCUUAAGAAACAUCCCAUCACCUCUGCGUACCACCCCUAUAGGCAUGCAUUCGCCCCUCACCACUGCUGUCCCCACGUUGGCUUAAUUUUCCCGUUGCUCAGGUGGAGAUGGUGCAGAGAGAGUUGGCCCAAGCUCUUGACCUCCUACAUGGGAAAGCCAAAGUGGGACCCAGGCUGGGUUCCCUAUGGGGACGCUCUGGACCCCUGACCUGCACCUCUCCCUCAGCCAGGACUUGGUCGUUCGUGGGGAGCACGGAGCGGGGAGGGUCCCUGCUCCGUGUCUAUGCCCGGGAAUUCCAGGGUCUCCAGAGGGCCUGUCGAUGCUGUGCAUUUUAAAAGGUCCCUGUCAGUGCUGCGGUCAUUGCUUCAACAUGGCCAAAGCAGAUGGGAAUCGGCGAGGCGUAUGCUUGUAUUGGACAGUGUCACUGUCAUUCUCACACUUGACCACCCUAGGUAGCACACACCCAGGCGACCUUGCAAGUAAGAGCUCACAGUUCACCCUCAUCCUUAGCCUGGUGUGCGGCACCAUUGUACAAACUCGCUGCCCAUCUGGGUGAGAAGGACUCCGUGCUCCCUCUGUGUUUCUCUCCAUGAAGUAAGUCCCUCUUGUUGUAAGGCUCUUGGGAGGGCAGACAUCCUUUUUGCUCAAGGCCCAUGCACCAAAUGAAGCCUGCAGAAAAACUGUCAUGUGAUGGAUAGUGGUUGGAUUUCAGUAUUGUCAUGUGUUCUAUUUUUGGUUUUUAAGAUCAACGUUUUGGGUUUAAGAUCCCUUCAUUAGCAUACUUUUCCUAGAAUUACCCCUCCAGGAAAGUUCUAAGUUUUCUUAAAUGAUUUUAAUUUUUUCCUUUACACUCGGUUUAAAUUUUUCUGUUAAUUUCUGCUGUGCAGGAAAGUGAUCCUGUCGCACACGCGUGCACACACGCACACAGACACACCCAUAUACAUGCUUACAUUUUCUCCCACUAUCCUCUAUCACGUUCCUUCGUGAGUGGCUGGAUAUUGUAUCCCUGUGCGAUCCAGUGGGCUCUCAUCGCAUAGCCAGUCCAGAUGCAAUUGUUUGCAUCCCUAAAGCCCAGAGUCCCAGUGCAUCCCACUUCCUCCCUGACCCCACUGGCAAGCACAAGUCUCUUCUGCAAGUCCUUGAGUUUCUGUUCCGUGGAAAGGAUCAUUUGUGCUGUGUUUUAGAGUCCAGAUAUAAGUGACAUCAUGUGGGGUUGGUGUUUCUCUUUCUGAGGGACUUUGCUUAGGAUGAGCGCCUCUAGUUCCAUCCACUCUGCUGCAAAUGGCACUAAUUCCUUCCUUUCACGGCUGAGGAGUACCGCAUUGUGUAUAUAUCCCACCUCUUGUUAACCCAUUCAUCUGUCGGUGGACGUUUAGGUGGUUUCCACGUCUUGGCUAGCGUGAGGAGUGCCGCACUGGACACUCGGCGCUGUCGUCAACGUCCAUGGGUGCCUGUAUCUUGUUCAAGGCAAGUCUUGUCCCCACAUACGCCCAAGAGUGGGAUUUCUGGGCCACAUGCUAGUUCUAUAUUUAGUUUUCCGAGGUCCCUGCAUGGUGCUUUCCAUAGCGGCUGUGCCAAGUUACAUUCCUACCAACAGGGUGGGAGGGUACCCUCUUCUGCACACCCUCUCCAGCAUUUGUAAUUUCUAGCCUUACUAAUGAUGGCCCUUCUGACAGGUGCGAGGUGGUACUUCUUAGCAGCUUGGAUUUGCCUUGUUCUAAUCAUUCAUGGUGUUGAGCAUGUUUUCGUGUGCCUGUUGGCCAUCUGUCUAUCUUCCUUGGGUGACUGUCUAUUCAGUUCUCUUGCCCAUUUUUCAAGUGGGUCGUUGUUUGUGUUUGCUGUUGAUGGUGUCUUGUCUUAGGUUUAAGUCUUUAAGCCGUUUUGAGUUUCUUUUUGUGCACGGUUUGAGGGUGUUGUUUUCCAGUUUCCUGGAUUUUCAUGUGGCUGUCCAGCUUCCCAGCACCACGCGCUGAACAGACUGUCUUUUCCCCCCUUGACAUUCUUGCCCCCUUUGUUGAAGAAUAAUUGACCGUCGGUUUGGGGUUUAUUUCUGGGUUCUGUCUUCUGUUCCAGUGGUCUGUGUGUCGGUUUUGGUACCUUUGCCACACUGUCUUGCUUACCGUAGCUUUGUAAUAUUGACCGAAGUCUGGGAGAGGUGUGCCUCCUGCUUGGUUUUUGCUCCUCAGGAUUGCCUUGGCCAUUCCGGGCCUGUUUAGGUUCCGUGUAAAUGUUUGGACGGUUUUGUUCUAGUUCUGCGAAAACGAUCACGGAUAGGGAUGGCAUUGCAUCUGUAGAUUGCUUUGCGUAGAACGGCCAUUUUUAGGAUAUUCAUUUUUUCCAAGCCAGGAGCGUGGCCUAUGUCUGCCCUUCUUUGACUCCUCCUUAAUUUCCUUGAGUCAUGUUUUAUUGCUCUCGGCGCAGAGGUCUUGCAGCUCCUGGCUCAGGUUGGUCCCCAGAUGUUUAAUGCUUUGGGUUCUUCCUUGGACCCCUGCUUGAGUGGCUAAGAGGAAGGCCAUCCCCUCCCCUGGAGUGAACACUGGGGAGGUGUCUCCUUGCAAGCCUGGGGAGAGCAGCCUUCCUCCUGUUCCUUGGCCCUCUGCAGCUACCCGUGUGCACUCCAGGGCCUUUGCCCAUCCCCUUGUCUACCGCCUCUCCUUGUUUUGUCUUCCUUCUUUCGCGUUUACACAGGGUCAUUUUUCUCAUGCAUCCUCCUCACCUGACAAAAAAUAAAAAAGAACAAAGAGGAAAAGGGGAGAGCUCU